AACGAACGCUGGCGGCAUGCCUAACACAUGCAAGUCGAACGAGACCUUCGGGUCUAGUGGCGCACGGGUGCGUAACGCGUGGGAAUCUACCCUUGGGUUUGGAAUAACAGUUAGAAAUGACUGCUAAUACCGGAUGAUGACGUAAGUCCAAAGAUUUAUCGCCCAAGGAUGAGCCCGCGUAAGAUUAGCUUGUUGGUGGGGUAAUGGCCUACCAAGGCGACGAUCUUUAGCUGGUUCGAAAGGAUGAUCAGCCACACUGGGACUGAGACACGGCCCAGACUCCGACGGGAUGCAGAAGGGGGGAAUAUUGGACAAUGGGCGAAAGCCUGAUCCAGCAAUGCCGCGUGAGUGAUGAAGGCCUUAGGGUUGUAAAGCUCUUUUACCAGGGAUGAUAAUGACAGUACCUGGAGAAUAAGCUCCGGCUAACUCCGUGCCAGCAGCCGCGGUAA
rnacentral:rRNA from 1 species